rnacentral:rRNA from 1 species
AGGACGAACGCUGGCGGCGUGCUUAACACAUGCAAGUCGAGCGGAAAGGCCCUUCGGGGUACUCGAGCGGCGAACGGGUGAGUAACACGUGAGUAAUCUGCCCCUAGCUCUGGGAUAGCUCCGGGAAACCGGGAUUAAUACCAGAUACGACCACUUUAGACAUCUUCUGUGGUGGAAAGAACUUCGGCUAGGGAUGAACUCGCGGCCUAUCAGCUUGUUGGUGAGGUAACGGCUCACCAAGGCGACGACGGGUAGCCGGCCUGAGAGGGCGACCGGCCACACUGGGACUGAGACACGGCCCAGACUCCUACGGGAGGCAGCAGUGGGGAAUAUUGCGCAAUGGGCGAAAGCCUGACGCAGCGACGCCGCGUGGGGGAUGAAGGCCUUCGGUUGUAAACCCUUUCAGCAGGGACGAAGCGAAAGUGACGGUACCUGCAGAAGAAGCGCCGGCUAACUACGCGCCAGCAGCCGC